UACGGAGGGGGCUAGCGUUGUUCGGAAUUACUGGGCGUAAAGCGCGCGUAGGCGGAUGUUCAAGUCGGGGGUGAAAUCCCGGGGCUCAACCUCGGAACUGCCUUUGAUACUGUCAGUCUAGAGUCCGGAAGAGGUGGGUGGAAUUCCUAGUGUAGAGGUGAAAUUCGCAGAUAUUAGGAAGAACACCGGUGGCGAAGGCGGCCCACUGGUCCGGUACUGACGCUGAGGUGCGAAAGCGUGGGGAGCAAACAGG
rnacentral:rRNA from 1 species